AACUGCACCUAUGUCCUGAAGGCCUCCAUGUCUGCUCUGCAGCUAGGGAGAUGAAGACUUCUGAGACAAGCUGUGCUACACAUGCAGAAUGUUGGACAAACAUUAAACCUAGACCAUUCUUGAAGAUCUUCAGAAAUUUGUUGCACAGCCAGAUGCCUUCUGGAUGACCUCUCAUGGAGCAGCAUCAAUAUAUCGAUGCCUGAUAGAAUGGUAAAUUUAGCCUACCACAUUUCAGUUUACUGUACUUUUUCUACUGUUUGUCUUUAUAGGAAUGCUGAGUCUGGUCAUGAGAAUAAUUGCUAAGAUAGUGUAGAACCAUGGCUAAUAAUAAAGAUUUGAUUCUGCAUCUCUGUGCA
rnacentral:lncRNA from 1 species